UACAUAGGGUGCAAGCGUUGUCCGGAAUUAUUGGGCGUAAAGAGCUCGUAGGUCGUUUGUUACGUCGGAUGUGAAAACCUGAGGCUCAACCUCAGGCCUGCAUCCGAUACGGUCGAGCUAGAGUUUGGUAGGGGAGACUGGAAUUCCUGGUGUAGCGGUGGAAUGCGCAGAUAUCAGGAGGAACACCGAUGGCGAAGGCAGGUCUCUGGGCCAAUACUGACACUGAGGAGCGAAAGCGUGGGGAGCGAACAGG
rnacentral:rRNA from 1 species